rnacentral:tRNA from 1 species
UCCCUGAUAGCUCAGCUGGUAGAGCGACGGACUGUUAAUCCGCAGGUCCCAGGUUCGAGUCCUGGUCGGGGAGCCA